UUGCGGCCAGACUUGCCUGCAGUUGCUCAGCCCGCCCUUUGGCGGGUGCACUCUUCUGCAGUCAGGCCAGCAUCGGUUUGGGCGGUCGGAUAAAGGCGUUGGGAACGUGGCCUCCCCUCGGGGAGGUGUUAUAGCCCGGCGCGCAAUGCGACCAGCCUGGACCGAGGUUCGCGCUUUGCUAGGAUGCUGGCGUAAUGGCCGUAAGCGGCCCGUCUUGAAACACGGACCAAGGAGUCUAACAUCUAUGCGAGUGUUUGGGUGUCAAACCCGUGCGCGUAAUGAAAGUGAACAGAGGUGGGAACCGCAAGGUGCACCAUCGACCGAUCCUGAUGUCUUCGGAAGGAUUUGAGUAAGAGCAUAGCUGUUGGGACCCGAAAGAUGGUGAACUAUGCGUGAAUAGGGUGAAGCCAGAGGAAACUCUGGUGGAGGCUCGCAGCGGUUCUGACGUGCAAAUCGAUCGUCAAAUUUGCGUAUAGGGGCGAAAGACUAAUCGAACCAUUUAGUAGCUGGUUCCUGCCGAAGUUUCCCUCAGGAUAGCAGUAACGUUUUCAGUUUUAUGAGGUAAAGCGAAUGAUUAGAGGCCUGGGGGUUGAAACUAACCUUCACCUAUUCUCAAACUUUAAAUAUGUAAGAAGUCCUUGUUACUUAGUUGAACGUGGACAUUUGAAUGCACCGUUACUAGUGGGCCAUUUUUGGUAAGCAGAACUGGCGAUGCGGGAUGAACCGAACGGGGGGUUAAGGUGCCGGAAUGCACGCUCAUCAGACACCACAAAAGGUGUUGGUUCAUCUAG
rnacentral:rRNA from 1 species